UACGUAGGGUGCAAGCGUUAAUCGGAAUUACUGGGCGUAAAGCGUGCGCAGGCGGUUUUGUAAGUCAGAUGUGAAAUCCCCGGGCUUAACCUGGGAACUGCGUUUGAAACUACAAGGCUAGAGUGUGGCAGAGGGGGGUGGAAUUCCACGUGUAGCAGUGAAAUGCGUAGAGAUGUGGAGGAACGCCGAUGGCGAAGGCAGCCCCCUGGGUUAACACUGACGCUCAGGCACGAAAGCGUGGGGAGCAAACAGG
rnacentral:rRNA from 1 species